rnacentral:rRNA from 1 species
AGAGUUUGAUCCUGGCUCAGAUUGAACGCUGGCGGAAUGCUUUACACAUGCAAGUCGAGCGGCAGCGCGGGGGCAACUCUGGCGGCGAGCGGCGAACGGGUGAGUAAUGUAUCGGAACGUACCCAGUCGUGGGGGAUAACUAUCCGAAAGGAUAGCUAAUACCGCAUACGUCCUGAGGGAGAAAGCGGGGGACCGUAAGGCCUCGCGCGAUUGGAGCGGCCGAUAUCGGAUUAGCUAGUUGGUGAGGUAAAGGCUCACCAAGGCGACGAUCCGUAGCUGGUCUGAGAGGACGACCAGCCACACUGGAACUGAGACACGGUCCAGACUCCUACGGGAGGCAGCAGUGGGGAAUUUUGGACAAUGGGGGCAACCCUGAUCCAGCCAUUCCGCGUGAGUGAAGAAGGCCUUCGGG